rnacentral:rRNA from 1 species
GACGAACGCUGGCGGCGUGCUUAACACAUGCAAGUCGAACGGUAAGGCCCUUCGGGGUACACGAGUGGCGAACGGGUGAGUAACACGUGGGUGAUCUGCCCUGCACUUCGGGAUAAGCCUGGGAAACUGGGUCUAAUACCGGAUAGGACCACUGCCUGCAUGGGGGGUGGUGGAAAGCUUUUGCGGUGUGGGAUGGGCCCGGGGGCUAUCAGCUUGUUGGUGGGGUGAUGGCCCACCAAGGCGACGACGGGUAGCCGGCCUGAGAGGGUGACCGGCCACCCUGGGACUGAGAUACGGCCCAGACUCCUACGGGGGGCAGCAGUGGGGAAUAUUGCACAAUGGGCGCAAGCCUGAUGCAGCGCCGCCGCGUGAGGGAUGACGGCCUUCGGGUUGUAAACCUCUUUCAGCACCGACGAAGCGCAAGUGACGGUAGGUGCAGAAGAAGGACCGGCCAACUACGUGCCAGCCGCCGCGGUAA